rnacentral:rRNA from 1 species
GAUCAUGGCUCAGGAUGAACGCUAGCUACAGGCUUAACACAUGCAAGUCGAGGGGCAGCAUGGUUUCAGCUUGCUGAGACUGAUGGCGACCGGCGCACGGGUGAGUAACGCGUAUCCAACCUGCCCUUUACUCCGGGAUAGUCUCCUGAAAGGGAGUUUAAUACCGGAUGUGUUUGUCUUUCCGCAUGGGAGCGACAAAUAAAGAUUAAUUGGUAAAGGAUGGGGAUGCGUCCCAUUAG